rnacentral:rRNA from 1 species
GACGAACGCUGGCGGCGUGCCUAAUACAUGCAAGUCGAACGAGAGCGACCGGUGCUUGCACUGGUCAAUCUAGUGGCGAACGGGUGAGUAACACGUGGGUAACCUGCCCAUCAGAGGGGGAUAACAUCCGGAAACGGAUGCUAAAACCGCAUAGGUCUUCGAACCGCAGGGUUUGAAGAGGAAAAGAGGCGCAAGCUUCUGCUGAUGGAUGGACCCGCGGUGCAUUAGCUAGUUGGUGAGGUAACGGCUCACCAAGGCCGUGAUGCAUAGCCGACCUGAGAGGGUGAUCGGCCACAUUGGGACUGAGACACGGCCCAAACUCCUACGGGAGGCAGCAGUAGGGAAUCUUCCGCAAUGGGCGCAAGUCUGACGGAGCAACGCCGCGUGAGUGAAGAAGGUUUUCGGAUCGUAAAACUCUGUUGUUAGAGAAGAACAAGUGCUAGAGUAACUGUUAGCGCCUUGACGGUAUCUAACCAGAAAGCCACGGCUAACUACGUG